AGCGAACGCUGGCGGCAGGCUUAACACAUGCAAGUCGAGCGGGCAUCUUCGGGUGUCAGCGGCGGACGGGUGAGUAACGCGUGGGAACGUGCCUUCUGGUUCGGAAUAACUCAGGGAAACUUGAGCCAAUACCGGAUACGCCCUUUUGGGGAAAGGUUUACUGCCGGAAGAUCGGCCCGCGUCUGAUUAGCUAGUUGGUGGGGUAACGGCCUACCAAGGCGACGAUCAGUAGCUGGUCUGAGAGGAUGAUCAGCCACACUGGGACUGAGACACGGCCCAGACUCCUACGGGAGGCAGCAGUGGGGAAUAUUGGACAAUGGGGGCAACCCUGAUCCAGCCAUGCCGCGUGAGUGAUGAAGGCCUUAGGGUUGUAAGGCUCUUUUAUCCGGGACGAUAAUGACGGUACCGGAGGAAUAAGCCCCGGCUAACUUCGUGCCAGCCGCCGCCGUAA
rnacentral:rRNA from 1 species